rnacentral:rRNA from 1 species
GAAUUCACUAGUGAUUCAGGCCUAACACAUGCAAGUCGAGCGGCAGCACGGAGCUUGCUCUGGUGAAGAGUGGCGAACGGGUGAGUAAUAUAUCGGAACGUACCCUGGAGUGGGGGAUAACGUAGCGAAAGUUACGCUAAUACCGCAUACGAUCUACGGAUGAAAGUGGGGGAUCGCAAGACCUCAUGCUCGUGGAGCGGCCGAUAUCUGAUUAGCUAGUUGGUAGGGUAAAAGCCUACCAAGGCAUCGAUCAGUAGCUGGUCUGAGAGGACGACCAGCCACACUGGAACGGAGACACGGUCCAGACUCCUACGGGAGGCAGCAGUGGGGAAUUUUGGACAAUGGGCGAAAGCCUGAUCCAUAAAGGCCGCGUGAGUGAAGAAGGCCUUCGGGUUG